GGAGAUUGAGUAAACUGGCGGACGGGUGAGUAACGCGUAGGUAAUUUGCCUUAUAGAGAGGAAUAACGUUUGGAAACAGACGCUAAUACCUCAUAAUGUUAUUUAACAUAUGUUUUAAAACCAAAGGGGGCUUCGGCUCUCGCUAUAAGAUAAGCCUGCGUCUGAUUAGCUUGAUGGUAAGGUAAAAGCUUACCAUGGCUACAAUCAGUAGCUGGUCUGAGAGGAUGAUCAGCCACACUGGGACUGAGAUACGGCCCAGACUCCUACGGGAGGCAGCAGUGGGGAAUUUUGCGCAAUGGGCGAAAGCUUGACGCAGCAACGCCGCGUGAUUGAAGAAGGACUUAGGUUCGUAAAGAUCUGUCGUAAGGGAAGAAUAAUUAAUAUUCUAACACAAUAUUAAUCUGACGGUACCUUACAAGAAAGCUCCGGCUAACUUCGUGCCAGCAGCCGCGGUAAUACGAGGGGAGCAAGCGUUGUUCGGAUUUAUUGGGCGUAAAGGGCUCGUAGGCGGAUUGAUCAGUCAAAAUUUAAAGCCAAUGGCUUAACCAUUGAUCUGGUUUUGAUACUAUCAAUCUUGAGUUAUAUAGAGGUAAGCGGAAUUCCUGGUGUAGCGGUGAAAUGCGUAGAUAUCAGGAGGAACACCAAAGGCGAAGGCAGCUUACUGGGUAUAAACUGACGCUGAGGAGCGAAAGCGUGGGUAGCAAACAGGAUUAGAGACCCUGGUAGUCCACGCCGUAAACGAUGAGCACUUGGUGGUGGAGGAUUCGACCCCUUCACUGUCGUAGCUAACGCGUUAAG
rnacentral:rRNA from 1 species